rnacentral:rRNA from 1 species
GAUGAACGCUGGCGGCGUGCCUAAUACAUGCAAGUCGAGCGAACAGACGAGGAGCUUGCUCCUCUGACGUUAGCGGCGGACGGGUGAGUAACACGUGGAUAACCUACCUAUAAGACUGGGAUAACUUCGGGAAACCGGAGCUAAUACCGGAUAAUAUAUUGAACCGCAUGGUUCAAUAGUGAAGGACGGUUUUGCUGUCACUUAUAGAUGGAUCCGCGCCGCAUUAGCUAGUUGGUAAGGUAACGGCUUACCAAGGCGACGAUGCGUAGCCGACCUGAGAGGGUGAUCGGCCACACUGGAACUGAGACACGGUCCAGACUCCUACGGGAGGCAGCAGUAGGGAAUCUUCCGCAAUGGGCGAAAGCCUGACGGAGCAACGCCGCGUGAGUGAUGAGGGUCUUCGGAUCGUAAAACUCUGUUAUUAGGGAAGAACAAAUGUGUAAGUAACUAUGCACGUCUUGACGGUACCUAAUCAGAAAGCCACGGCUAACUACGUG